AUUAUGGAUUGAAUUUAACCGCAUGGCGAUAUGAAGAGAUUCAAAAAGAAUCAGUAUCGCUGGUUCUCUCAAAGGAAAAAUACUGAUACGGAUGAUAAUCCGUUGACAGACAUUUUGGUUGUCCCUAGCCAGAAUGUCAAUAAUAGCCCUGCUCUAAAUGAAGCAGCAUCCACUCAUGGCGGAGUCGAAAAUGAAAGCCCAAACCAGGGUAAACUGCACUCUGUCACUGUGGAAGACCCUAAUGAAUGCUCACAGCCAAAAGAAUCGACAUCCAUUACUUAUGUGGAAUCCAUCAAUGACAACUCAUACUCAGGAGAAUCAACAUCUAGUAUGUAUAUGGAAUCCAUCAAUGACAACUCACAGCCAAAUGAAUCAACAUCCAUUACUUUUGUGGAAUCCGUCAAUGAUAGCUCACAGCCAAAUGAAUCAACAUCCAUUACUUUUGUGGAAUCCGUCAAUGACAGCUCACAGCCAAAUGAAUCAACAUCCAUUGCUUUUGUGGAAUCCGUCAAUGACAGCUCACAGCCAAAUGAAUCAACAUCCAUUACUUUUGUGGAAUCCGUCAAUGACAGCUCACAGCCAAAUGAAUCAACAUCCAUUACUUUUGUGGAAUCCGUCAAUGACAGUUCACAGCCAAAUGAAUCAACAACCAUUACUUUUGUGGAAUCCGUCAAUGACAGCUCACAACCAAAUGAAUCAACAACCAUUACUUUUGUAGAAUCCGUCAAUGACAGCUCACAGCCAAAUGAAUCAACAUCCAUUACUUUUGUGGAAUCCGUCAAUGACAGUUCACAGCCAAAUGAAUCAACAACCAUUACUUUUGUGGAAUCCGUCAAUGACAGCUCACAACCAAAUGAAUCAACAACCAUUACUUUUGUAGAAUCCGUCAAUGACAGCUCACAGCCAAAUGAAUCAACAUCCAUUACUUUUGUGGAAUCCGUCAAUGACAGUUCACAGCCAAAUGAAUCAACAACCAUUACUUUUGUGGAAUCCGUCAAUGACAGCUCACAACCAAAUGAAUCAACAACCAUUACUUUUGUAGAAUCCGUCAAUGACAGCUCACAGCCAAAUGAAUCAACAUCCAUUACUUUUGUGGAAUCCGUCAAUGACAGCUCACAGCCAAAUGAAUCAACAUCCAUUACUUUUGUGGAAUCCGUCAAUGACAGUUCACAGCCAAAUGAAUCAACAUCCAUUACUUUUGUGGACUCCAUCAAUGACAAACCAAAUAUAGAAGAAUGGACAUAUGAAAAUUAUGAGCAAGCACCCAGUACCAUGACUUCGACAUAUGAAUAUGGAUCACUACAUGUUGAUGGAGCUACAAGUGAAGUUACUGUCCAGUCAGACUUGAAAACAUCCCCAAGUGAAUGCAUCAAUGUAAGCACUCCAUUAAGUCAGUCAACAGUAAUAUCUGUUGAUGAAGACGUCGAUGAAACCAAGAUGAAGAACAUUACUCGUUUAAUUGUAUCAGCCUUUGCAUUCAGAGUAUUUGGAAUCCUGCUCAUCUUUGUGGACAUAUUUCUCAUCAUGUCAGAUGUACUUUCCAAUGAUAACAAAAUAGUUUUGGAAUGCCAUUCAAUUUCUUUGGCUAUUGCAUUCUUUUUUUUCUUUGAUGUUCUACUCAGAGUAUAUGUUGAGGGGAGGAAGACAUAUUUUACUGAUCUAUUUAACAUCUUAGAUGCUUUCAUUAUUGCAAUAACUCUCUUGAUCGAUACCAUUUACUUCUUUUUUGACCUAAGAUUUCUGAAACACAUACCAAGGGUGGCCAUUCUGCUUCGACCUCUACGCCUUAUAAUUUUGGUAAGAGUUUUCCAUCUGGCUUACCAAAACAGACAACUCCAAAAGCUGACCAGAAGACUGGUUUCAGAAAACAAAAGGCGAUACAGGAGAGAUGGAUUUGACCUAGAUCUCACUUACAUAACUGAUCGCAUUAUCGCCAUGUCAUUUCCAUCUUCUGGAAAGCAGUCUUUCUACAGGAAUCCAAUUAAGGAAGUUGUGAGGUUCCUGGAUACCAAACAUCCAAACCAUUACCGAGUCUACAAUCUAUGCAGUGAAAGAGCUUAUAAUCCUGAACAUUUUCAUAACAGAGUCCAAAGAAUCAUGAUUGAUGAUCAUAAUGUCCCUACUCUCAGCGAGAUGGUGGUGUUCACCAAAGAAGUAAAUAUGUGGCUGGCUCAAGACAAGGAGAACGUAGUAGUGAUUCACUGCAAAGGCGGCAAAGGAAGAACUGGGACAAUGGUCUGUGCUUGCCUCAUUGCUAAUCAGAUCUUUGGUACUGCAAAGGAAAGUCUUGCUUAUUUUGCAAGUCGACGUACUGAUCACACCAUCAGUAGUAAAUUCCAAGGAAUUGAAACUCCCUCCCAAAGCAGAUAUGUUGGCUAUUUUGAGAAUGUGAAAAAUCUCUACAACUGGACUCUCCCACCAAAAAAAAUCCUCACACCAUACAAAAUUAUCAUUUCUUCAAUUCAUAAUGUUGGAAAAGGCGAUGGAAGUGACCUAAAAAUUCAAAUAGCUACAAAACAACAGACAGUCUUUUCAUGUUCAUCUUCUAAAAACUGCAAGAUAUUCCAUGAUAUCGAAACUGACAGAGUCAUUAUUGAAUUGUUGAACUGUCCCAUCUUAUAUGACGACAUUAAAGUCAGAUUUCUCUCUCGGAAUCUCCCCAAAUACUAUGACAAAUGUGCAUUCUUCUUUUGGUUCAAUACAGCUUUCAUACAAAAUAACAGGCUGUAUUUAAGACGAAAUGAAUUGGACAACCCACACAAACGAAAAGCCUGGAAAAUCUACAGCUCGUGUUUCUCAGUCGAGAUGCACUUCACUCAGACCUAAGCACGUGAGGUACUGACACGUGAGCACGCUGAAAACAUUUACGAACCAAACGGCCAGGAAGGAGAAGUGGCAGCUGAACACUUCCGGAAACUAACAGUGUUCGCAGCUCCGGAGACGCACGGGGGCACCCCCUCGCUACAUCACCCCCAACACACUGGCUCCCAACUCCGUCCGCGCUACAGGACUCACACACAGGAACCGGCAAACAGGAACCCGAGCCGCGGGCCCUGCGGCCUCCUCCGGAACCCGUCCCGGGCCGCCCCGCCGCUCUGCGGGGACAGAGUCGGGAGGCGGCAGUGCCCGCACCCAACGUCAG